rnacentral:lncRNA from 1 species
UGUGGAAGUUCCCAGCCAGGGAUUGAACCUGUCCCACAGUAGUGACCUGAGCUGCUGCAGUGACAAUGCUGGGUCCUUAACCCACUGUACAACAAAGGGAAUUCCAAUUUUUGUUUCUGAGAAAGUUUUUAUUUCUCUUUCACUUCUGAAGGAUAAUUUCACAGGGUACAGAAUUCUAGAUUGGUGAGUUUUUCCCCUCAACCAUUUAAUUUUUUUUACUUUACUUUCUUCUUCCUGGCAUGGUUUCUAAGAAUGUCAGAUGGAAUCAUAUUUGUUUAUCCUAGAUAAGGUGUUUUCUUUGGUGUUCUUUCAGGAUUUUUUUUUAUCUUUGAUUUUCUACAAUUUGAAAAUGGUAUGCUAAGGUAAAGUGUAUUGUGAUACAGUGAAAAAAGUAUGUUAUAUUAUCUACAAAGUAUUCUCUCCAAAAUAUGUAGUCAAAUCUAAUAAUGAGAGAACAAUCAGACAAAUUCAGAAUGUGAGACAUCCUGCAAGACAAGUGGCCUGUCUUUAAAAAUGUCUGGAGAAGCAAAGGAAGGGCAACAAGUUCCAGAUGAAAAGAGAUUAAAGAGACAUAAUGAACACAUGCAACUAUGUAAACAUUGAUUAGAUUCCAGAAUGGGAAAAAUCCAAUAUGGAAAGUUUAUUAGAUAUUAUUGAAUUAUUGUUAAUUUUCUUAGAUAAUAAAGCAUUUUCCUUCUAUAUCAAUAGAGAGGAUAAAUUGUGCUUCCUCACAUUAUUUAAUAAGGAGAAAACCUGAAGUACAUUUUAGAUAGCUUCUCUUAAAACAUUGAAAAGUAGGAGUUCCUGUGGCUCAACAGUAAUAAACAGUAAUAAACCAUGGACUAGUAUCCAUGAGGUUGUGGGUUCCAUCCCUGGCUUGCUCAGUGGGUUAAGGAUCUGGCGAUGCCGUGAGCUGUGGUGUAGGUUGCAGACAUGGCUUGGAUCCCAUGUUGCUGUAGCUAUCUAUGGUUUAGACCAGCAGCUCUAGCUAAAAUUUGACCCCUAACCUGAAAAAUGCCAUAUGCCAUGGGUGUGGCCCUAAAAAGACUGUAUAUAUAUAUAUGUAAAUAUUUGAAAUCUAAAAGAAUAACUGCUUCACUGUGAACAAUUAGAAUAUUUAUCAGCUAUCCUAGAUAUUAGAUACAAAAUCUUAAUGUUAUUAAAUGUUGAGUGAGAGCUGCCAGUGUUUUCUGGAAGUAAACUGUCCAGCCCUGUGGAAUCUCUUAUCUUUUCCAGGGUAGCAUAUGUGUAGUGGACAUGUUAAGGUAUUAUUUACCAAAUUAUAUUUCCAGCAGUCUUUUUUAGCCAGAGUUCCUUCAUUCCAUUUUUAUUGCAAGUAUUUUUGCUCCAAUAAAGUAACUUUAUUUUCACAGGAAGAGAUUCAAGACUUUUAUUUUGCUAGCCUGAGAAUGGGGCUUUGGGGUACUCUUUCUUAAUGGAUUAUGCAAGUUAACAGCCUUGCCUAUGCUUUUUAAGUCUAGCAAUGACACAAAGGUAUUUCUGUGUAGCUUUUUUCACUGUGUAAUAGAUUCUAGCAUGAUUCCCAUGAGUUAGUGGAAACAUUUUCCUUACUAGGAAAAAAAUGCAUGUGAAAUUAACUUGAUUCUAAAUCCUGGUGGAAGUGAUGAAACUUGAUGUUUAAUGAUGUUCCCUUGUGAUUUAAAGUGCACAUUUCUAAGACCAGGACAAGACUACAAUUAAAUUUCUAGUUUCCUCUGUUGCCUAGGUGGAGGAUUUAUCCAAGUUGAUCCAGGCAUUGCUUUCAUAAUUUCUUUUGCAUCCGCUAUGACAACACAACACAUUGUACUUUCUCAUAACCAUUGGAGUCAGAGUUUUUAUCCCUAUGCCUAAUAUAAAUUUCCAACUUGCCAUCUCAUUUGGUGUUCUAUUGUUUGGAUGAGAAAUAAUUACAGUUAAAGAAAUAGUUUUUGAAUAAAUAAAGAUGUAUAAACAUUUGCUUUUAUAUUGGACAGUUUCUCUAUUUUCUAUAUACUAUUGCUGUUGCUCAGGGUAAACAAGUAAAACAAAACGGGAAGAUGGUGAUUGACACAGUUGAUUGGAGGAAGGUUGAAGAGUUUUAGGGGUGAAGAUCCUGCUCUGACAUCCCUACUUUUUAAAUCCUGGAUUUUAACUUAUUUCUUCUAUUUAUAAUUACACCUUUCCCAAACUAUUAGGUGAAGGAAAAGAAAAAGAAAGGUAUAUGAUAAGAUUGUGAAUAACUUUGCUUCCUAUAAAACCACAGAUUCAAGGAGGGAAAAAAAUAAAUUCAUAAGUAAUUGCAAUAUCACCACCUGCAAAAGAGAGUUCUCUUUUUCCUUUUGACCUCUCCACUGUACACCCUCCAUCUCAUUAAGAAAAUUGACAUGCUUUCCUUGAUUCUGGGUGACUGAUGCAGGAGGCAACUAUGUCAAGACAGUCACUAUGUGAUGAGGAGUCUGAGCAGAUUUGAAUGCCAUAAAGGGCAAUCCAGGAAAAGAUCCAUAAAAAUAGCAAUUCAGGCAGAGAAAACAGUAAGUGAAAUGGUCCCAAGGUAGGAACUAGUUUGUGCAUCAGAGAAUAGAAAUAAAACUACUGGGACUGGAGCUUAAGGUGAGGUUUGCAGCAUCAUAGGAAUCCUUGUAGUUUCCACUGUCAUCUAUUGAUCUAUGCUUGUGAAGCCCUGAGUUUCAAUGUGAAGUUUAUGACUUCCCUUGGCUACCAUAACUGGAAAAAUUACACAGAGACAUCCCAUAAAAAGAUCCCAAGACUAUGUAGAUGGCAAAUUCUCAGUUAGCCUCGGCAGAUCCAGCCCACAUCCAUUUCAAUCUUCCUAUCUGAGGCCACAGAUAUCAUGGAGCAAGGAUGAGUCAUCCUUUGCCAUGCCACCUGACCCACAGAACCAUUAAAGAUGAUGAUGAUGAUGAUGAUAAUGAUAACAAUAAUAAUAAUAUGUUUUUAAGUCAGUGUUCUGG